rnacentral:rRNA from 1 species
ACAUUGAAAAGAGUUGUACUAGUAAGUACAAUAAUUUGAUUAUAGUAUAAAAUUUAGAAUUAAAGUGAUGGGAUUUAGUGUAGGAAGUAAAGAAAUAAAAUGUAAGAUAUGUAGCUGUAAAGGGAUUUAGUAGAAAGAGGAUAAAUUACCUUUUGUAUUAGGGUAUAAUAAAAUUGAAACAGAUUGUUUAUUUCCCGAAGAAGGAAUAGCUAAAAGGAUUAGAAGUUAAUGUAGCAAUAUGGAUAUUAAACUCUUUUUAGAAGUGAUAUGUUAGACGGUUUCUUGGAUAUCUGGUUCAUACUUAAUUAAUAUUUAAAUUCCUUACUUUGAAUAAGAUCAAAGUUUUGAGUAAGUUUAAGUAAGGAGUUAACUAAAGGGGGUAAUCUCCUUUAGAUAAUCAGGACAAUAAGUUUACAGGAUUUAUUAAAUAUUGUAGGCUUAAUAUUAGCUGGACUGAGUAAGGUUAUACGAGGCUUUAAAGUUAAGUGGAUUUAGAUAAGAUUUGUGUUAAAAAUUUAUGGAUUAAACUGAGAGAGAUUUUUUAAUUAAUAAUGUUGUGAUUAGUAUUAUAAAGUGUAGUAAAGUAGAAGUUGAUGGGAAUAGUUUUUAUGAAUUCGACAAAUGCGUUUAAGGCUGUUUAACAAAAACAUUUCUUUUAGAGUUUAGUUAAAAGUAAAAUCUGCCCACUGUUGAAUAAUGAAGGGCCGCGGUAUUUUGACCGUGCUAAGGUAGCAUAAUCAUUAGUCUCUUAAUUAGAGAAUAGAAUGAAGGAUUAAACUUAGAGGCAUUGUAUUAAUAUUAGGCUAAGAAUUUGUAGUGUAAGUGAGAAUACUUAUUUUUAUUCAAUAGACGAUAAGACCCUAUAGAUCUUAAUCUUUAGUUCAGUUAAAAGAAUUAGUGUAAUAAUUUAAAAGUAUUAGGGGUUUUAUUGGGGCAAUAUAAGAAUAUAAGUAAUUUCUUAGAAUUAUAGGUACAGCAGUAUAUAGUCUAAAAGUGUAAGUUUAAAAAGUUACCUUAGGGAUAACAGCGUAAUUAAUUUGGAGAGUUCUUAUUGAUAAAUUAGAUUGCGACCUCGAUGUUGAAUUAAGAUUCCUUUAUGGGGCAGUACUUAUAGAAGGUGGUUUGUUCAACCAUUAAAAUCUUACAUGAUUUGAGUUCAAACCGGCGUGAGCCAGGUUGGUUUCUAUCUUUGAAUCGUUAUAGCUAAGUGUAGUACGAAAGGACCCUCUUUAGCUAAAGGGUUUAAA